AAAUGAAAGAGAUAGGAGCAAAAAGAAAACGGUCGUGACAACGCGAUCUUAGUCUGGAAGCUCCUGAGGAGCUUGGCGAAGCAUAGAAAUCUUGAUCGAAUCGGAAUCGCGUCUGCAUAGGGAAAUGGCGUCUGAGCUCCACCAAUUGAGGUUCGACCCACCCCAAUCCAACGCGUCCGAUGAGUCUUCUGCCCAGGACGAUCGUCCACUGUUGAAUCCAGACUCUGACGCCGUCGCCGUCGCCGACGACGAUUCCGACGAUCUCCACCAGAAAUAUGCUCCGUUUGUCCGACGAGAUGUUUACGGCACCAUGGGCCGAGGGGAGCUGCCGUGGAUGGAGAAGGUGCUGCUAGCAAUAGCGCUCGUUACAAUCGUUCCUAUACGGGUGGUUAUUGGGAUGAGUUUGCUGUUCCUCUAUUACAUGAUUUGCAGAGUUUGCACGUUUUUUCACGAUCCGAAUAGGGAGACGGAUGAGCAGGAGGACUACGCGCACAUGGUGGGAUGGAGGAGGUCCGUAAUUGUUUGCACCGGAAGAUUUCUGUCCAGAGCCAUGUUAUUCGUUUUAGGGUUUUAUUGGAUUUCGGAAGUUUAUCGAAUCCUGCCAAAUGAGGACAAGUCAACUAACGAGAACGAGGGGCAAGAGAAGUCUCAAGAAUCUGAAAGACCCGGGGCUAUUAUCAGCAACCAUGUAUCAUAUUUGGAUAUCUUGUAUCAUAUGUCUUCUUCCUUUCCAAGUUUUGUUGCUAAGAGAUCAGUGGCUAACAUUCCUCUGGUUGGUAUUAUCAGCAAGUGCCUUGGCUGUGUUUAUGUUCAACGGGAGUCAAAGACAUCUGACUCCAAGGGUGUUUCAGGUGUUGUGAGUGAAAGAAUUCGAGAAGCUGUGAAGAAUAGCUCUGCUCCCAUGAUGAUGCUUUUUCCAGAAGGAACAACUACUAAUGGCGAGUUUCUCCUUCCAUUCAAAACGGGUGCAUUUUUGUCGAGAGCUCCAGUUCUUCCAUUGAUUUUAAGAUAUCCGUAUCAGAGAUUUAGUUUGGCCUGGGAAUCAAUAACAGGAGUAAGGCAUUCUAUUUUAUUCUACUUUGCCCUCUCAUCAUGUCUUCUUAAACUUUUGAAGGAGAAUUAGCUGCAGACAUGGAUUGAACCCACAGCGCCUUACAUGAGUUUGUUGCUUUUACCUCAAAUUGUUGAACCCCAACUCGUUUGUGGCAACCCUUUUGAUAUUGUAAAAGGUUUCAGGACCACCCAGUUUAAUAGAUAUUUGAAUUCUUAUUGGCAGGGCCGUCAUUUUUUACUUCUUCUCUGUCAAUUUGUAAAUCACAUGGAGGUAAUAAGACUGCCUGUCUACGUCCCAUCACCAGAAGAAAAGAAUGAUCUGAAGCUUUAUGCUAAUAAUGUUAGAAGGUUGAUGGCCAAAGAGGGAAAUAUGAUGCUUUCGGAUAUUGGACUCGCGGAGAAGCGUGUUUAUCUUGCUGCUCUGAAUGGUACACCGCAGCAAUGCUAAUUUGGGAUGUCAUCAUCUGUAAAUUCUUGUAGAUGAUAAAUAUAUGGAAAACAAAAUACCCUCACCAUCAUGUGCAAGUAUUCAUUAAUUAAUAUCAUCCCGAAUAAACUUGUUCGUAUGAUUCUUCUUGGGA